rnacentral:rRNA from 1 species
GACGAACGCUGGCGGCGUGCUUAACACAUGCAAGUCGAACGGAAAGGCCCUGCUUUUGUGGGGUGCUCGAGUGGCGAACGGGUGAGUAACACGUGAGUAACCUGCCCUUGACUGUGGGAUAACUUCAGGAAACUGGGGCUAAUACCGGAUAGGAGCUCCUGCUGCAUGGUGGGGGUUGGAAAGUUUCGGCGGUUGGGGAUGGACUCGCGGCUUAUCAGCUUGUUGGUGGGGUAGUGGCUUACCAAGGCUUUGAAGGGUAGCCGGCCUGAGAGGGUGACCGGCCACAUUGGGACUGCGAUACGGCCCAGACUCCUACGGGAGGCAGCAGUGGGGAAUAUUGCACAAUGGGCGGAAGCCUGAUGCAGCAACGCCGCGUGCGGGAUGACGGCCUUCGGGUUGUAAACCGCUUUCGCCUGUGACGAAGCGUGAGUGACGGUAAUGGGUAAAGAAGCACCGGCUAACUACGUG